GGAGCCAGACAUCCUGAAGGCCUCUUCACUUCAAGAGUAUCUUCUAGUAUAAAGAGGCUGCAUGAAGUGCCGGGCUGGGCACUGAGGACUUCCAAGGAGGAGGGAUGUGCAGGCUGAGUUGAUUGGGGAAGGUUUCCUGGACGAGAUGGGACGUGGGUUGAGGCUGCAGGCUGGUCGGGAUUUGGCAAGGUGGAGGGGACUGUGUGAGCACAGGGCAGAGACUGGAGUCUUUCAGGUGUUGGGCAAGUCCCAGGGGUCCCAACUCCUUAGGAGGGAGGAGGCUGGGAGUCAGAGCCUUCCUCACAGGCCUUGGAGAAGAAAAGGGGCUGGCAGGGCUGUCCCCCUUACUCUGCUCCCCAGCACCCCCAGAACAGGCUGCUGUUGCCCAUUGAACUGUGCUGGCCAGAGGGGUGUGUUGGGAGCUGGGCUUGCUUGAUGGUCAAGUUAAUGGUAGGGAAGUGGGGAGACAUCCUUUUCAAGUGGGCGUGCCUCUCUCUGAACCUGUUUUCAAGAACCAGCUUCAGCCGUGCUGGGGGGCAAUUUGGGGAGGCCUUCCUCCCCAAGCGUUUUUCUCCUUCACCUCCUGCCCAGCCCCUGCUCCGGGUGAGGGAGGGGAUUACUUGGAGAAGGCAUCUCCCACCCCUCUUAACUCUGUGGGUGUGUCUUCAUUGCUGGGGGUGGUGGUCCCCAAACCAUAUGCCUUCUCUACUCACUUCCAAAUAGCCAAGAAUAAUACUUUUUAAAAAAGUAAUGUUUUCAAGACUUGGAGUGUUUUUCUGAUCUUCCUUGGGGAGGGGGGGAUGAGCACCUCCAAGCCUGCCUGUGUCCUGCAGGGAGGGGCCUGCUGGACACUGUCAUUACAGACUACCCUGCCUGGGGCCCCUUCUCUGUCUCAGGGCAUGGAGAUGAGAAUUAAGAUUCCCUGUGACUUUGGCCUGACCCUAUGCUCAGACGAAGUCCACGCCUCCCAUCGUUCCAAGGAACCCUCCCAACCUCCCCAGCCAAGCUCUGGCUCUGCCACGGUGCCUCCAGUCGGAAGUGUCGUAUUUGUGUGCGUCAGACUCCGAGCUUGUUACCUAGAUGUAGAUGGUCAGCUAUUCGAGAGAGAAGGCUUUACUUUCCUCAAAAGUCCUUUGUGGAUGUGAGGAAACACCUGCGAGAGGUCAUAUACCUACAAUAGUUCUCAUUUCUUCAGGGUUGACAAAGUGCCUUCAUAUAAAUGAGCUCGCUUGGCUUCUUUCAGCGAUUCUGUGACAUUUUAUGAAUGCAGCUCACCUGUGAAACGAUGUGACUUGCCCAAGGUCAGAGAGUAGUGAGGAAUCCAAACCCAGCCUUCUUAUGCCACACACACUUACAACCCAAAUGGGUUUAUCGGAUGGGCCCACCGGAACCUCAGCACGGCGCACCGGGGGAGGGUGAGCAGGGCCAGCCCUGCAGUAGCCAUCACCGAGGACUGGGUGGGUGGGG
rnacentral:lncRNA from 1 species